GAUCUUAGGUUAAUGGAUUAUUGCACAAGUAAUAUAAAAUUAAUCAACCAUUGAUUCAAUUAACAUAAAAUUACGAGGAUUUAGGACAUACAAUUAUUUUAGGAUUUUUGGGCUUCAAUAAGGAAGAGGUUGAAGACUUUGAGGACUACCGCACUUACAUAGUUUAUCUUUUCGUGUGUAGGAUGAUCAUAUUACCUAUAGUGUACAUUUGUAGACAAAUACAAAUAUCAACCUAGUUCCAUUUGACUAAGAAAUGGAAGGCUUUGAAGACUGUUAAUCAAAUUGUAAUUACAUUGGGUUGCUGUUAUGUUUCUAGUUUCAUGGGUGGACCUGUGAAUUCAUCAAGUGGAUGGAAGGGAUGUGUUUGGCUCCAAUUUUUCUAUCAAAAUGUUAUGGCAUUAAAAUAGACUUUGGAGUCUUUGAUACGCUAUUUGGCAUUACAGUAGGUACAAUUGUUCACAAUUCUACCUGAUAAAACGUGCCCAAAGGAAAUUAAAUUGAAAAGCCCAUAAAGAGAUAAGCUGAGUUGAUUUAAAAUAUUAAAAUAUCUACUGUAUGUAAGGUCCUCUUCUUGCCACAUUACUUAUGGGGAAAACAAAAGUAAAGUAAAAAAAAAAUUCUCCUCUUUUAUUUCUUUCGACUGAAAAUUGUUCAGAGUUAAGGUUUAGAAGAGCUCUCAACUUACCAUUUUAUGUUCUUCGUUUUGUAGGUGAGUUGAUGGAGAUCUUGAGCUCAAGAAUAAAGAUUCUAAGCAUGCAUGACUAGGAAAUCAAAGAAGAAGAGAAGCAGACACUCAAAAUUCUGGGCAGAGUCGGAAGAGACAGAGGGUUGAGGAAAGAGCUAGGUUUUUUGUUCACAUUUUAACAAAUCUCCUUCUUAAAGCAAAAACCUCUUGAAGAUAUUCGACAUUCGGUGAGUUGAUGGAGAUCUUGAGCUCAAGAACAAAGAUUCUAAGCAUGCAUGACUAGGAAAUCAAAGAAGAAGAGAAGUAGAC